rnacentral:rRNA from 1 species
UACAGAGGGUGCGAGCGUUAAUCGGAAUUACUGGGCGUAAAGCGUGCGUAGACGGUUAUUUAAGUCGGGUGUGAAAGCCCCGGGCUCAACCUGGGAAUUGCAUUCGAGACUGAAUAGCUAGGGUACGGUAGAGGGAAGCGGAAUUUCCGGUGUAGCGGUGAAAUGACGUAGAUAUCGGAAGGAACAUCAGUGGCGAAAAGCGGCUUCCUGGACCAGU